rnacentral:rRNA from 1 species
AAAAAAAAAAUAACUUCAGGAAACUGGGGCUAAUACCGGAUAGGAGCUCCUGCUCCAUGGUGGGGGUUGGAAAGUUUCGGCGGUUGGGGAUGGACUCGCGGCUUCUCAGCUUGUUGGUGGGGUAGUGGCUUACCAAGGCUUUGAUGGGUAGCCGGCCUGAGAGGGUGACCGGACACAUUGGGACUGAGAUACGGCCAAGACUCCUACGGGAGGCAGCAGUGGGGAAUAUUGCAUUAUUUGUUGAAGCCUGAGGCAGCAACCGCGCUCUACACGUAAGG